rnacentral:misc_RNA from 1 species
GAACUGCGAUAAGCAAUGCGAAUUGCAGAAUUCCGCGAGUCAUCAGAUCUUUGAACGCAACUGGCGCUGAGGGGCUAUCCUCUCAGCAUGUUUGUCUCAGUGUGUUUGUUUCACAAAUCACAAAUCUAAAUGUGGUUGAAGUGUAUAUAAUACUUCUUCCAUUAAAUUCGCGAAUGGGUCUCAAGCGCUUGACUUGGCCCAAUGAAGCGGUCACUUUUUUCAAAGUGAACUCAUUGGAACAGUCUUGUCUUGCCGCACAUAAAAAAUAUGUAAAUAUUUUACCCAUUCUUUAUCAAAAUAUUCACACUCUCCAUCAGCACCUGAGAUCAAGCAAGAUUACCCGCUGAACUUAA